CCUACGGGUGGCAGCAGUAGGGAAUUUUCGUCAAUGGGCGCAAGCCUGAACGAGCGAUGCCGCGUGAGUGAAGAAGGUCUUCGGGUCGUAAAGCUCUGUUGCGGGGGAAAAAAGGCAGCAUUAGGAAAUGGGUGCUGACUGACGGUGCCCCGCCAGAAAGUCACGGCUAACUACGUGCCAGCAGCCGCGGUAAUACGUAGGGGGCGAGCGUUAGCCGGAAUGAUUGGGCGUAAAGUGUGCGCAGGCGGUCCUGCAAGUCUGGAGUGAAACGCACGGGCGCAACUCAGGAAUGGCUUUGGAAACUGGAGGACUGGAGAGCAGGAGAGGGCGGUGGAACUCCAGGUGUAGCGGUAAAAUGCGUAGAUAUAUGGAAGAACACCAGUGGCGAAGGCGGCCGCCUGGCCUGUUGCUGACGCUGAGGCACGAAAGCGUGGGGAGCAAAUAGGAUUAGAUACCCCUGUAGUC
rnacentral:rRNA from 1 species